UUGUAUUUGGAGAAGGUGCCUCGGGGGCGACACCGGCCCAAGUCCCUUGGAACGGNNCGUCGUAGAGGGUGAGAAUCCCGUACGGGCCGGCCGUCAAUCCCGCAGGAGGCCCUUUCGACGAGUCGAGUUGUUUGGGAAUGCAGCUCCAAGUGGGUGGUAAAUUUCAUCUAAAGCUAAAUACCGGCCGGAGACCGAUAGCGCACAAGUAGAGUGAUCGAAAGAUGAAAAGCACUUUGAAAAGAGAGUUAAAAAGUACGUGAAAUUGUUGAAAGGGAAGCGCCCGCAACCAGACUUGCUCGCGGGUGUUCAACCGCCCCACGGGGCAGGUGCACUCGCCCGCGAUCAGGCCAGCAUCGGUUCCGGCGGUCGGACAAAGACCCUGGGAAUGUAGCUCCCCGAAGGGAGUGUUAUAGCCCGGGGUGUAAUGCGGCCCGCCGGGACCGAGGACCGCGCUCAUGCUAGGAUGCUGGCGUAAUGGUUGCCGGCGACCCGUCUUGAAACACGGACCAAGGAGUUCUGCGACGUCGCGAGUGUUCGGGCGUCAAACCCGUGCGCGCAAUGAAAGUGAACGGAGGUGGGAGCCCCGUUACCCCGGGGCGCACCAUCGACCGAUCCUGAUGUCUUCGGAUGGAUUUGAGUACGAGCGACGGCGCUGAGACCCGAAAGAUGGUGAACUAUGCGCGGAUAGGGUGAAGCCAGAGGAAACUCUGGUGGAGGCUCGCAGCGGUUCUGACGUGCAAAUCGAUCGUCAAAUCUACGCAUAGGGGCGAAAGACUAAUCGAACCAUCUAGUAGCUGGUUCCUGUCGAAGUUUCCCUCAGGAUAGCAGCAGCGAGUCGACAGUCUCAUGAGGUAGAGCGAACGAUUAGAGGCCUUGGGGUUG
rnacentral:rRNA from 1 species